GGGGACAACCCGCCGAAAGGCGGGCUAAACCCGCGUACAUGCCACCGGGGCAUCCCGGAGGCAGGAAAGGCUUCGGCCGGACAGGGAUGGGCAUGCGGCGCAUUAGGCAGUAGGCGGGGUAACGGCCCACCUAACCGACGAUGCGUAGGGGUUCUGAGAGGAAGGUCCCCCACACUGGUACUGAGACACGGACCAGACUCCUACGGGAGGCAGCAGUGAGGAAUAUUGGUCAAUGGUCGGGAGACUGAACCAGCCAAGCCGCGUGAGGGAGGAAGGUACAGAGUAUCGUAAACCUCUUUUGUCAGGGAACAAAGUCUGGGACGCGUCCCCGGAUGAGUGUACCUGAAGAAAAAGCAUCGGCUAACUCCGUGCCAGCAGCCGCGGUAAUACGGAGGAUGCGAGCGUUAUCCGGAUUUAUUGGGUUUAAAGGGUGCGCAGGCGGUCUGUUAAGUCAGCGGUCAAAGCCCGGGGCUCAACCCCGGCCCGCCGUUGAAACUGGCAGUCUCGAGUUGGAGAGAAGUAUGCGGAAUGCGCGGUGUAGCGGUGAAAUGCAUAGAUAUCGCGCAGAACUCCGAUUGCGAAGGCAGCAUGCCGGCUCCACACUGACGCUGAGGCACGAAAGCGUGGGUAUCGAACAGGAUUAGAUACCCUGGUAGUCCACGCAGUAAACGAUGAA
rnacentral:rRNA from 1 species